GGCCACAUGUGAAGUUUAUGUA
rnacentral:siRNA from 1 species